ensembl:lncRNA
GUGUGUGUACAGUGUGUGUUAGUGUGUGAUAUAACAGUGUGUGUGUUAGUGUGUGAGUAUACAGUGUGUGUUAGUGUGUGAGUAUACAGUGUGUGUGUUAGUGUGUGAGUAUACAGUGUGUGUUAGUGGUGAGUAUACAGUGUGUGUGAGUGUGUGAGUAUACAGUGUGUGUGUUAGUGGGUGAGUAUACAGUGUGUGUGUUAGUGGGUGAGUAUACAGUGUGUGUGAGUGUGUGAGUAUACAGUGUGUGUGUGAGUGUGUGAGUAUACAGUGUGUGUUAGUGGGUGAGUAUACAGUGUGUGUGUUAGUGUGUGAGUAUACAGUAUUAUACAGUGUGUGUGAGUAUACAGUGUGUGUUAGUGUGUGAGUAUACAGUGUGUGUGUCAGUGUGUGAGUAUACAGUGUGUGUGAGUGUGUGAGUAGUUGGUGUGUGUUAGUGGGUGAGUAUACAGUGUGUGUGUUAGUGUGUGAGUAUACAGUGUGUGUGUUAGUGUGUGAGUAUACAGUGUGUGUGUUAGUGGGUGAGUAUACAGUGUGUGUGUUAGUGUGUGGUAUAACAGUGUGUGUGUUAGUGUGUGAGUAUACAGUGUGUGUUAGUGGGUGAGUAUACAGUGUGUGUGAGUGUGUGAGUAUACAGUGUGUGUGUUAGUGGGUGAGUAUACAGUGUGUGUGUUAGUGGGUGAGUAUACAGUGUGUGUGAGUGUGUGAGUAUACAUGUUGUGUUAGUGGGUGAGUAUACAGUGUGUGUGUUAGUGUGUGAGUAUACAGUGUGUGUGUUAAUGUGUG